GACGAACGCUGGCGGCGUGCUUAACACAUGCAAGUCGAACGGAAAGGCCCUGCUUUUGUGGGGUGCUCGAGUGGCGAACGGGUGAGUAACACGUGAGUAACCUGCCCUUGACUUUGGGAUAACUUCAGGAAACUGGGGCUAAUACCGGAUAGGAGCUCCUGCUGCAUGGUGGGGGUUGGAAAGUUUCGGCGGUUGGGGAUGGACUCGCGGCUUAUCAGCUUGUUGGUGGGGUAGUGGCUUACCAAGGCUUUGACGGGUAGCCGGCCUGGGAGGGUGACCGGGGACAAUGGGACUGAGAUACGGAGCAGACGGCUACGGGAGGCAGCAGGGGGGAGUAUUGCGGAAUGGGGGGGAGCCUGAGGCGGCAACGUCGCGUGCGGGAUGACGGGUUUCGGGGUGUAAACCGCUGUCGCCGGAGACGAAGCGUGAGUGACGGUAAUGGGUAAAGAAGCACCGGCUAACUACGUG
rnacentral:rRNA from 1 species